rnacentral:tRNA from 1 species
GCCUGGGUGGCUCAGUGGAUUAAGCGUCCGACUUUGGCUCAGGUCACGAUCUCACGGUUCGUGGGUUCGAGCCCCGCAUCGGGCU